CGCGUAGGCGGCGCGGUAAGUCACUUGUGAAAUCUCUGAGCUUAACUCAGAACGGCCAAGUGAUACUGCAGUGCUAGAGUGCAGAAAGGGCAAUCGGAAUUCUUGGUGUAGCGGUGAAAUGCGUAGAUAUCAAGAGGAACACCUGAGGCGAAGGCGGGUUGCUAGGCUGACACUGACGCUGAGGCGCGAAAGCCAGGGGAGCAAACA
rnacentral:rRNA from 1 species